UGUCAAACUGGAAGGAUUGUGAAGAUCGAGAAGCUCAAAAGACUGACCGAUCUGAAUUGAACUUCUUCAAACAAAAAAAGGUUGAAUUUUUUUUAAUUUUUAUUUUUGCUAAAUAGGUUCAAUUUUUCAAAUUCAAUCCCCAAUAGAAAGUGCGUACAAUAAGAAUGCGAAAGAGAUUGAACACAACAAUUAAAAUUGUGAAAUCUUUUUCACAAGGCCUACAUUCUUACCUGCGGAAAGAAUCGAAAGCAGAUGAGAUGAAAAAAAAAAUGGAGUUUAUAUCGGAGAGAAAAUGUUUCAGUAAUGACGAUUCCGAUUUUUUCACUUCACUUUCCAAAAAUAGCCAUAUUUAUCGUUGCUAUUUAUCAUCCGAGUCAUCAAGAAAUUCGAAUUUUAGGCCUGAUUUUUGUGUCGGGGAAAAUGACUACGGUGAUCAGAGACCGUGAACGGAAUUAUA
rnacentral:lncRNA from 1 species